CUUUAUAACUUGUGCAAAGUGUGACUGGCUGGACAACAAACAUGUGGUCUUUGGGCUAUUGGAGGCGAGGACAUGUUGCUGCAUCUGUUGGCUUCAUAUCUGAUUAGCUCAACGCUAGGGAAAGAAUAAAGUGUGAGUUAGCUGAAUUAAGGCUGAUGUAGACUGUGUAGACGAUGAAUUAAGCCAGAUGAUGAAUUUCGAUGGUUGAUGGAUCUGGAGAAAAGCCAGAUGAUGAAUUAAGGCUGUGUAGACGAUGUGAAUGAUGUUUGUUUUUAUUGUAGAUGGUAACUGAACGAGCAUCAGUGGAGUAUUGCAUAUUUGUUCUUCCCAGCUCUGAGCUCUGAGCUCUGUGUAGACGAUGUGAAUUAAGGCUACUACUCUACUCACCAUGGUCCCUGAA